CAGAAUUCCUCCUCCAGUCAUGUUUGCUCAAGAAUUCUGUGAACUGAACUCCACAAGUCUUAAACUUGCCAAGUUUGAAGACCCUUGUCCUAAAGCAUCGCUAACGUUGCAGGAAGUGGUUACACCUGAUACAGAAUAACUUUCAGUGAUGGACAUGGCUAAAUAGGGUGAAGUAUAUUUCUCAAAACAAUAGUUCACAAGUUUCUCUAAAGCACAUUCUAUUUCCCUCCCUCUCUAUGGUAGCAAUUAGUUUUCAUAAAUCAGGGGUCAGCAACCCGUUGCUCUGGAGCCGCAUGUCGCUUUUUCAUCAUGUGCUGCGGCUCCUUGUCUCUUAAAAUAUGCAUCACAAUCGCCAAUGUGCGACACACAAUUUAUUGGGCUUUUUUACCCCCAGUAGCCAACCAUGGAUAAAUCCAAGAAAAGAGAAGUUACAGAAGAAAACAGAAUGUUUAAUUCAACUACAUAGGCUAGUUUUGUGGCCACUCAGGAAAUAGACAGGCACGGGAAGGGUUUUUAUGGCUCCUGGUGUUUUCUGUGGGAAACUGAUCCACAUGGCUCUUUGAGUGUUUAAGGUUGCCAACCCCUGUCCUAAACAUAAAAGAACAAUUGGAUGCAUUUAAUCACGCAAAUCCACUGACAGGAGAAAACAACGGAAUGCCUUAUUUGUAUAGUCCACUUUUCUUCUGUGGAUAGUUGGAGAACUUAGACUUAUUGGACAUUAGCUCCACCUGAAAAAGGGUCUACAACAUGUCUUUGGAACUUGGAACCAUGCAGGAUACCUUCAACAGUUUGUGUAAUCUCAUAUUUACUGCUUCUGUGAAAGCUGAAUUACCCAUAAAGACUGGAAGACCUUCAAAU